ensembl:lncRNA
UGGGAGGGCUGGCACUUGCCUUGUGGGUGAGCAGGUCAGGGGGCCGAGACCUGGUUGGAGCCUCAGCUUGUGUCACUGGAAGGCUCCCAUCCUGACCUGGAGGCCCAUGAGAGGUCAGCUUGUUCAGUCCCCUGCCUCAGAGCAGAACAUACCUGGGCCGGGCAGCUGAGUCUCAGACAAAGCAGCCCCCGGAGGCAGACCUUAGUGGCCAGUUGUGAUUGGAGCCACUUUGUCCCGAUGAGCCCCAGCUUCGUCACCUGUGACUACGACUCUGCAGGGAUCCCCCGGUGUGGUUCCCCAGUGCCAGUGUUGUCUGAUUCCAGUCUGGUGCUCCUUGGUUCCUGAGCCAGCCUGAGGAGUCUGAGCAUUCUGUCACUUGCGACCAAGCAGUGUUAAUACAGAGAAGUCACCACUGUGGGAAUGGAGAGGAGCUGGAUCCUCAAGUGGACGUGUCUGGACUUGGUGAGUAGUGCUUCUGUGGGGUGGGCAGCUGCGAAGGAAUCUAGUUUCCUUAUCUGGAAUCUGGAUGGGAUAUCCUGCCUAGGUGCUAGGCGGUGUAUCCCAGACAGGAAGUGAGGAGUAGGAGGGAUGUGAGAGAAGAGAUCCUGGAGCUUGAGGAUGAGGCGGGAAGGAGGGAGAUGAACUCAAGGCAGCUGGGGGCUGGGGGGAGAAAGAGCGCUUUGUAACAGGAACCAAUCUGGGUGAUGUGGUUCCAUCUGCCUCAAAUAUUGCUUGACGCUUUGUUAUACACCAGGCAGUGUACUGGUUAAUAAAACAGUUUGGGGAUGGGUAUUGUUAUCCUCAUCUUACAUGUAAAGAAAGGGUGAUACAGAGAAGUGAAACAGCUUGUACAAAAUCAGAAAAUCAGAGACCAAAAUUCAAACCUGGGUCUAACUGCUAUGCUGAUGCUCUUAAGAACCUAAACAGAUGCUCAGAUGAGGGAACAAAGUCUCUGCCUCAGUCCCUGAGUUUUUACAUAUUUCCAAUGAGUCCUUUAAGUAAAAUAUUCUCCCUGCAAGUACUUUGUGAGGCAAUGCAGUUGAGUAAUAGAAUCUGGGGGCCUGGUUCACUUUGUAAAUACCAAUUCUUUCAUCCUCUUCCCCUACCGGGGUCCAGUCAAAUGAGCACUAAUACAGACAGUUGGUUACCCACCCCGUGGCCCUUCCACUCCCCUUCUCUCAGCACCCACCGAGGUUGCUUUUAAGUGUUCAUGCUUAUCCUUCUGGGACCAGGGUUAGUACUGUGGCAUUAAUAGUGACAUUACCCCCCUUGCUUGGGAUAGAUUCAAGCAUGUGAUGCGACUCAAUUCUGGCCAAUGAGCAGUGAAGAAUAGAUUCCUAUUCGUUUAUAGGGGGCUUCUGAGAAAAACUUCCCUUGAUCUUAAAAUGGGACACAAUGAUGAGAUGUUUUCUGGGGUUUUAUUUAUUUAUUUAUUUAUUUGCUGCUGUGCGCAUUGUGUGGUGAUGUGAUGUCUGGGGUGGGCGCAACCAUCUUGCAACUGUGAGGCAAGCUAGCCAAGGACGAGGCGACGUGCUGAGAAUGGCAGAAGGGAAGGAAAAGAGGAAGUCUGGGUCACUCAUGAUGAUGCUGAGCUGCAGGAUUAACCUCUUCUGAAGCUAUUGUUCCUCUGGACUUCUUGUUCUCUGAGAUAAGACACUUUCCUUAUUGUCUAAGCCACCUGAAAGAAGUUCUCUGUUUCUGGCCACUGAAAAGACCUUUACCGAUGUAUGAGCCACGGGUUCAAAAGAAUGUACACCCAAUGUGCUAAUGUGAUAUGCCGACAGUUGGAACAACAGCAUUGGUUAAAGGGGAAAACCGGAUUCCUUGACCAAGGGAGGCACUGAAAAGUCCUUUCUCUGCUGGUUCAGUGGGGAGAGAGUGUGGCAGUCUGAGGCCCUGCACUCUGCAUCUCGUCCACGCAUGUGGGAGGCCUCCUAUCAGAGGAGAGGUCUGCUCCUGGCCAGCCGAACUUCUGACUCCCAUUUCCUGUAGGGUCAGCAGAGGAAAGCAGCUUUAUUUACUGAGUCAGGAUGGAAAACAGAUGUCUAAGCACCCCGCUGGGCCCGGGCUCACCCUGGACAGAGGCCGGGCCUGUUCUCAGCCCUGACCCGCCCACCAACCUCUUGUUCCCCAUAUCGAGUCCAGAUGUGGCUUCUUCCAAGCUCUAAUAAUAAUUUUGAUUUGUUGCAGCUAAAUAAACUACACCCCUCCCAGCUCAACCCUUCACUCGCUAACUCUCCAAGGAGUAUGGGAGCAAUGCUAUGAAACAUUUGUUAAGGAACCCCGGGUGGGGCAGAGAGGAAUGUGAAUUUGAGAAGCAGAGCAAUGUGGGUUCAGCUGCAGCCUGGUCUCAUAUUAACUGAGUGAUUUCAACCCUUGUAUCAGUCAUCAAUUGCUGUGUAACAAGCCACCACAAAAGUCAGUGGCUCAAAACCAGCAACUGUUCAUUUGCUCAUGGAUCUAAAGUUUGGGUGGGGCUUGGUGGGACAGCUCAUUCAUUCUCCACAUUGUGUUGUGUUUGGUAAGUGAAGUCAGAUGGGUCAAUGGAGCACAGGUGUGAGCAGAGGUCAGCAUUACCUCUGGGCCCAGCCAGCUCAUUGCUUUCCUGUUCCCAUAGAGAUAGUUCUUUUUCUUCUCAGUCCUUCCUUCCUCAUCAGUAAACUGAAGGCAGAGAAUGUCUGUAGAAUGUGUGCAUAGCAAGAGAAGCUGGAGUUCCUGUCGUGGCUCAGGGGCUAACGAAUCUGACUAGGAACCAUGAGGUUGCAGGCUCCAUCCCUGGCCUUGUUCAGUGGGUUAAGGACCUGGCAUUGCCGUGAGCUGUGGUGUAGGUUGCAGACGCAGCUCGGAUCCCACGUUGCUGUGGCUCUGGGGUGGGCUGGCGGCUAAAACUCCGAUUAGACCCCUAGCCUGGGAACCUCCAUAUGCUGCGGGAGCGGCCCAAGAAACGGCAAAAAGACCAAAAAAAAAAAAAAAAA